rnacentral:rRNA from 1 species
UAAGUACCCCGAGGAAAAGAAAUCAACCGAGAUUCCCCCAGUAGCGGCGAGCGAACGGGGAGCAGCCCAGAGCCUGAAUCAGUAUGUGUGUUAGUGGAAGCGUCUGGAAAGGCGCGCGAUACAGGGUGACAGCCCCGUACACAAAAAUGCACAUGCUGUGAGCUCGAUGAGUAGGGCGGGACACGUGGUAUCCUGUCUGAAUAUGGGGGGACCAUCCUCCAAGGCUAAAUACUCCUGACUGACCGAUAGUGAACCAGUACCGUGAGGGAAAGGCGAAAAGAACCCCGGCGAGGGGAGUGAAAAAGAACCUGAAACCGUGUACGUACAAGCAGUGGGAGCACGCUUAGGCGUGUGACUGCGUACCUUUUGUAUAAUGGGUCAGCGACUUAUAUUCUGUAGCAAGGUUAACCGAAUAGGGGAGCCGAAGGGAAACCGAGUCUUAACUGGGCGUUAAGUUGCAGGGUAUAGACCCGAAACCCGGUGAUCUAGCCAUGGGCAGGUUGAAGGUUGGGUAACACUAACUGGAGGACCGAACCGACUAAUGUUGAAAAAUUAGCGGAUGACUUGUGGCUGGGGGUGAAAGGCCAAUCAAACCGGGAGAUAGCUGGUUCUCCCCGAAAGCUAUUUAGGUAGCGCCUCGUGAAUUCAUCUCCGGGGGUAGAGCACUGUUUCGGCAAGGGGGUCAUCCCGACUUACCAACCCGAUGCAAACUGCGAAUACCGGAGAAUGUUAUCACGGGAGACACACGGCGGGUGCUAACGUCCGUCGUGAAGAGGGAAACAACCCAGACCGCCAGCUAAGGUCCCAAAGUCAUGGUUAAGUGGGAAACGAUGUGGGAAGGCCCAGACAGCCAGGAUGUUGGCUUAGAAGCAGCCAUCAUUUAAAGAAAGCGUAAUAGCUCACUGGUCGAGUCGGCCUGCGCGGAAGAUGUAACGGGGCUAAACCAUGCACCGAAGCUGCGGCAGCGACGCUGAUGCGUUGUUGGGUAGGGGAGCGUUCUGUAAGCCUGCGAAGGUGUGCUGUGAGGCAUGCUGGAGGUAUCAGAAGUGCGAAUGCUGACAUAAGUAACGAUAAAGCGGGUGAAAAGCCCGCUCGCCGGAAGACCAAGGGUUCCUGUCCAACGUUAAUCGGGGCAGGGUGAGUCGACCCCUAAGGCGAGGCCGAAAGGCGUAGUCGAUGGGAAACAGGUUAAUAUUCCUGUACUUGGUGUUACUGCGAAGGGGGGACGGAGAAGGCUAUGUUGGCCGGGCGACGGUUGUCCCGGUUUAAGCGUGUAGGCUGGUUUUCCAGGCAAAUCCGGAAAAUCAAGGCUGAGGCGUGAUGACGAGGCACUGCGGUGCUGAAGCAACAAAUGCCCUGCUUCCAGGAAAAGCCUCUAAGCAUCAGGUAACAUCAAAUCGUACCCCAAACCGACACAGG